UACGUAGGGUGCGAGCGUUGUCCGGAAUUAUUGGGCGUAAAGAGCUUGUAGGUGGUUUGUCGCGUCUGCUGUGAAAAUCCGAGGCUCAACCUCGGACUUGCAGUGGGUACGGGCAGACUAGAGUGCGGGUAGGGGGAGACUGGAAUUCCUGGGUGUAGCGGGUGGAAUGCGCAGAUAUCAGGGAGGGAACACCCGAUGGCCGAAGGGCAGGGUCUCUGGGCCCAUUACUGACACUGAGAAGCGAAAGCAUGGGGGAGCGAACAGGG
rnacentral:rRNA from 1 species